rnacentral:siRNA from 1 species
CAUUUAUUAGAUAAAAGGUCGAC